rnacentral:rRNA from 1 species
UGGGGAAUAUUGCACAAUGGAGGGAACUCUGAUGCAGCGACGCCGCGUGAGUGAUGAAGGAAUUCGUUUCGUAAAACUCUGUUCUAUGGGAAGAAAAGGACUGUACCAUAGGAGAAAGCUCCGGCUAAAUACGUGCCAGCAGCCGCGGUAAUACGUAUGGAGCGAGCGUUGUCCGGAAUUAUUGGGCGUAAAGGGUGCGCAGGCGGCUUUACAAGUUGGAUGUGAAAUAUUGUGGCUCAACCACAAGCGUGCAUCCAAAACUGCAAAGCUUGAGUUAAGGAGAGGUAAGUGGAAUUCCUGGUGUAGCGGUGGAAUGCGUAGAUAUCAGGAGGAAUACCGGUGGCGCAGGCGACUUACUGGACUUAAACUGACGCUCAGGCACGAAAGCGUGGGGAGCAAACAGG